AAGUCGUAACAAGGUAACCGUAGGUGAACCUGCGGUUGGAUCAUUAACAAACCGGCGCAAGCCAAACGGGGACCACGCAAGUGGAAACCACGACCCAACACUGUGCACUGUAUCUUGUCUUUGGGUAUGACUCUGUCUGCCCGAGACACAUGGACCCACACCUAUAGCCUUGAACCUAGUAAUUAAAAACAACUUUUGACAACGGAUCUCUUGGCUCUC
rnacentral:misc_RNA from 1 species